AUGGUGACUGUGCUGGGUGCCCAGCGGGGGGGCUGUUUGACAGUAACCGCAGGGCUGAUGGGAGCACCUGAGAGGAGCGGCUUCGUGGGAAGUGUUGGGACUAGGCCCUGGGUGUGUGGGAGCUCACGCUGCCAUGAGGACUGUUUUCGCCCAGAGGGCUUCAGUGCUUUGGGUCUGACGUGGAAAGCCCUGGUUGCGGCCGUGUCUCCGGGAGGGGACGGCACGCAGGCUCACUCUUGUUCACUGAGCUUAGCGUGAAUCCUUGCCCUUUCUUCUGAAGUUCUGUUUCCUUUUCGUGGCUCAGAGAAGCCCAGUGAGGUUAAAGUCCAAACCUUGAUUUUAUUGAUGGAGUGAUGAUUGUUCUAUGGAUCUUGAAGGGCUCCGGGAGCAUCCUGUCCUCCACACAGCCACUGGGGGCAACAUCGAGUUCUGGGGGGGGGCAUAUGAUGAUAGUAAUGGUAAUAAUAAUAAAGUAAUGAGCAUGUACUGUCCCGGGAAUUGU
rnacentral:lncRNA from 1 species